CACAAAGCUCCAUUGUCAUCAGCAUUCUGUGCAUAAAGCUGCUGUGUGCUGAGGAGCUGCCAGGUACAUUAACUCUUGUCAACUUAACGGAGAUUUGUUAUAAGUGAAGCUGACUCCUUCGUAAGAAGUUCAGGCUGAGCCUUGACACUUAAUCUAAAUACUGAAGCUGAGGAGAUUUUACUGGAGGCUGAAGUCUUUGUCUUCACAAGGACCAUCUCUGAAAAAAAGACUGAGUAAAAACCAAAUGAGGGAAUUUCGUGGCUUGGCUCUGGCUGUAGAGAUGUAAGUCACCACAGUAGCGCUUCUCAGCUUUUUAGAAGCUGAUGUUUGCAAAUUAAUUACUUGGCCUUUAAAUAGUUCCAAAC
rnacentral:lncRNA from 1 species